UUUCUAGUAUCCGAAUGCGUUUUGAUGUAAAUUUCUUACGUUUUACAGAACCACACCUCUUGGGGGAGUGGAAAACAGUGUGCGGAGUUCGAUAUUUACUCCACAAUGAGAAGAUGAAUUGGUUUGGUGCGCUCAACUUUUGCUGUUCCCUGGGAAUGCGUCUCAUAUCUGUGCAGUCCAUUGAAAAAUUAGUCUGCCUAGAACAAAUUUUAGGGGAUGAAGAGUACGGAUACUGGACUUCUGGAACGAACAUGAACUGUUCAAAUCAGCGAUACCGUUGGUGCUCACCUGAAUUUAGAGACUUCAUCAAACCGAGUUUGAAUCUCGACAACAGGACACUUCACUUCGAUCCUAAUA